rnacentral:tRNA from 1 species
GGAGAGAUGCCCGAGCGGCUGAAGGGGCACGACUGGAAAUCGUGUGAGCGUCUAAACCGCGCUCCGAGGGUUCGAAUCCCUCUCUCUCCGCCA